rnacentral:rRNA from 1 species
UACGUAGGGUGCAAGCGUUAAUCGGAAUUACUGGGCGUAAAGCGUGCGCAGGCGGCUUUGCAAGACAGAUGUGAAAUCCCCGGGCUUAACCUGGGAACUGCAUUUGUGACUGCAAGGCUGGAGUGCGGCAGAGGGGGAUGGAACUCCGCGUGUAGCAGUGAAAUGCGUAUAUAUGCGGAGGAACACCGAUGGCGAAGGCAAUCCCCUGGGCCUGCACUGACGCUCAUGCACGAAAGCGUGGGGAGCAAACAGG